GGAGUCAAAGUUCCAUAUUUACUUAGAGAAUGAGUCAAAGUUUCAUAUUUCUCUAAAAUGGAUUGCUGAGGUGGCACAUGAUUUUUUACUGUUUAAAAAAUUGUGGUGCCUAAAAUGCCCUUCCCUAACAAAAAAGUAGUACCUUCAGUUCAAAAAAGUAGUACCUUCAGUUCAAAAAAGUAGUACAUUCGCGGGUGUUUAAAAAACAUGGUACCUGGACGCCAAAAAGUAGUACCUUCAGUUCAAAAAAGUAGUACCUUCGAAGAAAAAGUAGUACUUUCGCGGAAGGGUAUUUUAGGCACCACAAUUUCUAAACAGUAAAAAACCAUGUGUCACCUCAGCAAUCCAUUUUAGAGAAAUAUGGAACUUUGACUCAGCCUCUAAGUAAAUAUGGAACUUUGACUCCAUUUAUAUGUAAUUUUCCCUAUAUUUUUUCUCUCCUUUCUCUCUCCUCCUUCAUUCCGUUGCACUCUAAAUUGAUACAUAAAUUUAAUAUUGGCCACAAAGAUUUACAUCCUUAUAUGACCAUUUUUUCCUCCCUUUUUUUUACUCUCAUUCACAUUUUACAAUAAAUCCUAACAAAUAUAAAAAUUUAAUAUUAGGUCCAAAUUUUGUAUCAUUAAAUUUUUUUUUCCAGCACUAAAAACAUUUUUGGAUAAGUUACACCAACAGUAGAUUAUUAAAUAUCUAUUUAACGUUGUUGUUUGAGAAAAUGGCAAAUUUUCAUAUAUAUAUAUAUAUUUUAAAUAUUUUAUCUUCUUCUUUUCAACAUAUCUUCUCCUCCCACUUUCAUUACAAGUUUACAGUUAUUAUAAACGCAUUGUUAUUCUAUUGAAAAAUUUGUGGAAGUAUUGGAUUUGGGUUUUCUAAAUUAGGUUCAAUGGUUCUUUUUUUUUUUUUUUUAAUUAUUUUUUAAUUUUAUACUAAUUUUAUUUAUAUUGUUGAAAAAGUUGCUUUUUAUUUUUCGCCUAAGGCCCCAAAUUAGAUUGAGCCACCCCUGUAUAUACAUAUAUAUCAAUGAAUAAGAAUGGCUUGUGCUUAAAGGGGUGAGCAAAUAAUCCGUCAAUUCGGUCCGGACCAAUCCGAUUCAUGUGGUUCGGUUCGAUUUUCAGAUCUCAUGAUUUGGUGAUGGUUUAGAAAAAUAACAAUCCGCUAUUCGCGGUUCAGUUAACGGAUUGGGCCCUAAAAAAUUGAUCCGAUCCGUUAACCUAACUGAUUCGAUCUGUUACCGAAAUAAUAUAUUAUAUAUUUAUAUAUAACUAUAUAUAUAUACAAUGUUGAAUAUACUUACUGUAUUUCUAUUUUUUUAUUAUUUAAUAUUCUUUAAGUUAACCCUAGGUCCCCAAAUUCAUUACUCAUUUCAUUACAGUCACGCCUCCCUUAGCCUCGUAGUCUUUAGUUCUCUUCGUUUCUGUCUUUAAUCUUCAAUCUUCACUCUUCGUCUCUGUCUUCCUCCUCACGCCUCCCAAUCUCUUGCCUCUCAAUCCAACACCUCUCAAUCCACCGUUCAUCUUAUAAUACAUCAAAAUAACGGUGACCUCUGUGUAUCGAAGCAACGGGGACCCUAGGGAUGUCAAUUUUUACUGCCUCGCUAAGGCCCCGCCCCGUUAAUAAAGGAUAUGGGAACACUUUUUAUACCGUUGGGGUGGACAUGGAUACAAAUUUUGUACCCGUUUCGGGUCCGGGGCGGGUAAUGGUUCAAUAUACAUAUCCUAGGGGCCCCGUCCCGCCCUGCCCCGCUAAGCAUAUAACUAUAUCUAUAUAUAUAUAUAUAUAUAUAUAUCAUAUUAAUAACUUAUCUUAGCGGCUUAUACAGUUACCCAUCUCUUAUAAUCCUAAUUUGUGAUGUAAACUUGGUAUUAAAUUUGUUUUUGUUUUAGUUAUGGUGGAAGUUGGGGCUUAGAAUUUUUUGUGAUUUGGUUGUAUUAAACUUUUAUUUUUGUUUAUUAUGUUAUCUGAAUUAUGUUAUGUGCAUAUUAUUUUUUUUUAUUUUUGUUAGGAUACAUAAUUUCAUUUAUGUUGUGUCAUUCCCAAGCUUUCCACAUUUAAAUAGCAGGAGCUUAAGUUCUAAAAAGUGGGAGAAAAAAAUUUGUUAGCGAGGCGGGCACGGGAGCACAGUAUUUCCCAACGGGGCGGGGCUGGACAUGAAAAUCCAACCUGUCGCGGGUCUUAGGGCAGGCAUGGACUUGACAAAAAUUAAAAAGGGCGGGGCGGGAUUUAGGGAAACCCGCUCCAAACCCGCCCAGUUGCCACCCUUAGGCGACCCCUGAGACCGGAUGUACCUCUUUUCUGAUGACAACUGCAGAAGAUAUUUGGGCUGUUUGAAAAGCCCAAUCCGUGGAAACAGAUUUGAUUCGAUCCGUUAUUUCACGAAUUGGUUCGGUUCGGACUGAAGGUCCCCACGGAUUGAUUCGGUUUCAAAUUUCACAAAUUCGUGGGAGCCAGUUCGGAUUGAACUUUACCCUCAAGUCGAACCGAUCUGAUCCGUGAUUAGCCCUAGUGCUUUAUAUAACUUGAACAUGUUUACAUGGAAAGAGAAUGUCUUGGGUAAGGCAUGCUUGUGAUCUCUAUUCUAUCUUAUCAAAUAAUUUUCGUCUAUUUGUUUGUUUAUUUAAGGAAGCUAUGUAAUAUCAUAUUUGUAUGGAGGAGCAAAAAUUAAUAAAAGAGACAUUUUAAUUUUAAA